rnacentral:tRNA from 2 species
GCGUCGGUGGUAUAACGGUUAGCAUAGCUGCCUUCCAAGCAGUUGACCCAGGUUCGACUCCCGGCCGACGCA